rnacentral:rRNA from 1 species
AGUGAACGCUGGCGGUAGGCCUAACACAUGCAAGUCGAGCGGCAGCACAGUAAGAGCUUGCUCUUACGGGUGGCGAGUGGCGGACGGGUGAGGAAUACAUCGGAAUCUACUUUUUCGUGGGGGAUAACGUAGGGAAACUUACGCUAAUACCGCAUACGACCUACGGGUGAAAGCAGGGGAUCUUCGGACCUUGCGCGAUUGAAUGAGCCGAUGUCGGAUUAGCUAGUUGGCGGGGUAAAGGCCCACCAAGGCGACGAUCCGUAGCUGGUCUGAGAGGAUGAUCAGCCACACUGGAACUGAGACACGGUCCAGACUCCUACGGGGGGCAGCAGUGGGGAAUAUUGGACAAUGGGCGCAAGCCUGAUCCAGCCAUACCGCGUGGGUGAAGAAGGCCUUCGGGUUGUAAAGCCCUUUUGUUGGGAAAGAAAAGCAGCAGGUUAAUACCCCGCUGUUCUGACGGUACCCAAAGAAUAAGCACCGGCUAACUUCGUG